rnacentral:rRNA from 1 species
AUUGAACGCUGGCGGCAGGCCUAACACAUGCAAGUCGAACGAGUGGCGGACGGGUGAGUAAUGUCUGGGAAACUGCCUGAUGGAGGGGGAUAACUACUGGAAACGGUAGCUAAUACCGCAUACCAUCGGAUUUGCCCAGAUGGGAUUAGUUAGUGGGUGGGGUAAAGGCUCACCUAGGCGACGAUCCCUAGCUGGUCUGAGAGGAAGACCGGCCACACUGGAACUGAGACAGGGUCCGGACUCCUCCGGGGGGCAGCAGUGGGAAAUAUUGGACAAUGGGAGAAAGCCGGAUGCAGACAUGCCGCGUGGAUGAAGAAGGCCUUCGGGGUGUAAAGUACGUUCAGCGGGGAGGCGUUACCCGCAGAAGAAGCACCGGCUAACUCCGUGCCAGCAGCCGCGGUAAUUC